rnacentral:tRNA from 1 species
GGGCGGUUGGCUCAGUGGGUAAAGUGUUUGCCUUGCAAGCACAAGGACCUGAGUUUGAUCCCCAGAACACAUG